rnacentral:rRNA from 1 species
AAGUCGAGCGGAUGAAGGGAGCUUGCUCCUGGAUUCAGCGGCGGACGGGUGAGUAAUGCCUAGGAAUCUGCCUGGUAGUGGGGGAUAACGUCCGGAAACGGGCGCUAAUACCGCAUACGUCCUGAGGGAGAAAGUGGGGGAUCUUCGGACCUCACGCUAUCAGAUGAGCCUAGGUCGGAUUAGCUAGUUGGUGGGGUAAAGGCCUACCAAGGCGACGAUCCGUAACUGGUCUGAGAGGAUGAUCAGUCACACUGGAACUGAGACACGGUCCAGACUCCUACGGGAGGCAGCAGUGGGGAAUAUUGGACAAUGGGCGAAAGCCUGAUCCAGCCAUGCCGCGUGUGUGAAGAAGGUCUUCGGAUUGUAAAGCACUUUAAGUUGGGAGGAAGGGCAGUAAGUUAAUACCUUGCUGUUUUGACGUUACCAACAGAAUAAGCACCGGCUAACUUCGUGCCAGCAGCCGCGGUAAUACGAAGGGUGCAAGCGUUAAUCGGAAUUACUGGGCGUAAAGCGCGCGUAUGUGGUUCAGCAAGUUGGAUGUGAAAUCCCCGGGCUCAACCUGGGAACUGCAUCCAAAACUACUGAGCUAGAGUACGGUAGAGGGUGGUGGAAUUUCCUGUGUAGCGGUGAAAUGCGUAGAUAUAGGAAGGAACACCAGUGGCGAACGCGACCACCUGGACUGAUACUGACACUGAGGUGCGAAAGCGUGGGGAGCAAACAGGAUUAGAUACCCUGGUAGUCCACGCCGUAAACGAUGUCGACUAGCCGUUGGGAUCCUUGAGAUCUUAGUGGCGCAGCUAACGCGAUAAGUCGACCGCCUGGGGAGUACGGCCGCAAGGUUAAAACUCAAAUGAAUUGACUGGGGGCCCGC